rnacentral:rRNA from 1 species
AAAAACUUAGUCUCAGUUCGGAUUGUAGGCUGAAACUCGCCUACAUGAAGCUGGAGUUGCUAGUAAUCGCGAAUCAGCAUGUCGCGGUGAAUACGUUCCCGGGCCUUGUACACACCGCCCGUCAAGUCAUGAAAGUGGGGCAGCACCCGAAGACGGUGGCCUAACCCUUGUGGGGGGAGCCGUCUAAGGUGAGGCUCGUGAUUGGGACUAAGUCGUAACAAGGUAAC